UACAGAGGGGGCAAGCGUUGUUCGGAAUUACUGGGCGUAAAGGGCGCGUAGGCGGCCUUCUAAGUCGAACGUGAAAUCCCCGGGCUCAACCCGGGACUGCGUCCGAUACUGGAAGGCUUGAAUCCGGGAGAGGGAUGCGGAAUUCCAGGUGUAGCGGUGAAAUGCAUAGAUAUCGUCAAGAACACCUAUAGCGAAGGCAGCUUACCUGGGCUGUAACUGACGCUGAGGCACGAAAGUGUGGGAUCAAACAGG
rnacentral:rRNA from 1 species